AGGACCGCACCGUGCUUCGAGUGAUCUCUCUGUGAGAGAGAUUGGGACUGGGAGAAGGGAUGGAUGAGCAGAAAUCAAACUGUGAGGAGAAUGAUUCUGAAGCAGCAGCUGAUGGCAGCACACCUCCAGAGAACCCUAUCCCAUCUGAUGGGGAGAAAGAGCCCCCAGAGACAGUCAUGGACACUUCUAAUGCACCUUUGUGAGUACCUCAUCUUUUAAGUAGUAAAGUUCUGAUUUUACUCUCAGUAAGAAUUC
rnacentral:lncRNA from 1 species